CUGUUUUUACUUUUCAGCAUUGCUCUUCUCCAAAUCGGAACUUGCGUCCGAUCUUCGGCCCCAUCCUUAUUCAUGGCCGCUACUUUUCUAAACCACCCUUGGGGGCUUCAAGGUUCCUGCUGCAUUCCCUCUUCUAGAAAGUUCGCGUCUUCCUCUCUCCGAUUUCCCUCCUCCUCUCUUUCAUGGCACGGCCACAAGGUUCGCGGAUCAUCAUCCUUUUCUGACGACCCCGCCGCAUUCAUCUCUGAUGCUAUUAUCAGUUCUCACCGUCACGAAUCACCUAGUGAGAGUGAGAGGGAGAGUGAGAGUACUUUGAUAUUGAUUCGUCAUGGUGAAUCCUUGUGGAACGAAAAGAACUUGUUCACUGGGUGCUGUGAUGUGCCUUUAACAAGGAAGGGUGUGGAGGAAGCUAUUGAAGCUGGUAAGAGGAUCAGCUAUAUACCCAUAGAUAUUAUUUUCACUUCUGUCUUGAUUCGAGCCAAGAUGACCGCCAUGCUUUCAAUGACUCAGCACCACCAGAAGAAGGUUCCAAUAAUCAUCCAUAAUGAGAGUGAACAGGCAACUGCUUGGACUCGAAUUUACAGUGAAAAAACUACAAAGCAGUCUAUUCCAGUUAUAACAGCUUGGCAGUUGAAUGAAAGAAUGUAUGGGGAGUUACAGGGCCUUAACAAGCAGGAAACUGCCGAAAGAUAUGGGAAGGAGAAAGUGCACGAGUGGCGUCGCAGUUUUGAUAUUCCUCCUCCAAAGGGUGAGAGCUUGGAAAUGUGUUCAGAGAGAGCUGUUGCCUAUUUUAAAGAUUUUAUUGAACCCCAACUAAAAUCUGGAAGGCAUGUGAUGGUUGCUGCUCAUGGAAACUCAUUGAGGUCUAUUAUAAUGUACCUUGAAAAAUUAACCUCUCAAGAGGUCAUGAAUUUAGAACUAUCAACUGGGGUACCAUUGCUUUACAUAUACAAAGAGGGGAAGUUUAUCAGUAGAGGCAGUCCUGUGGGGACUACAGAAGUUGGUGUUUAUGCAUAUACUCAGGGGUUAGCUGAUUACAGACAGCAGUUUGAUGAAAUGUCACAUUGAUCGUUCAUCACUUGAAAGUUCUGGUGUGUAGUCUCAUGCGAAUUUCUCCAGUAAAAUAUCUCGUAUUCCAUACAGUCACUGAUAAUGAGUGUGCUCAUAUAUAUAUUUGCAGACCAUUAGAAGAACUGGAAAAUUAUAGGAAGAAAUUGAUGAACCCCUUGAUAAUUUAAAAUCUGUGAAACUGAAACUUGGAAGCUGAACACUUUUCUGCACUGCAGUAGUGCAGUCUUAACUCUAAAAUGACUCUGGUUGGAGAGUGAGAGAUAGUGGACAACUGGAUGUUGGUAAUAUAGCAAUAGAAUUUGAAUGUGUCUGCCUGGAAGUGACUCAUAGUUGCCAUGUUUAAGAUUUUGAAUCUAAGGUUUUUUAUUGAAAACAUUGUCAAACUAGGCAAAAUAUUUCUUAGAGCGGUAUGUCUUGUGUCAGUUAUAACUUGUGAGAGUGAUUUUGCAUUUGUUGCCACUUAUCAUCAAGUGGUCAAAUUGCAUUCUCCCGUUGGAUUGUUCGGCCUUCGUCUUGUUCUUGUCUUCUAAUCGAUUUACUGUUUGAAGAAAACAACAAACAGGUUACAGGAGUUCCUUAGUUGUAUUAUUAUUGAGCUUAAUAUAUAUUUCUGACUUCAUUUACAGAAAAGAAA